rnacentral:rRNA from 1 species
UGCAAGUCGGACGGGAUCCAUCCGAGAGCUUGCUCGAAGAUGGUGAGAGUGGCGCACGGGUGCGUAACGCGUGAGCAACCUACCUCUAUCAGGGGGAUAGCCUCUCGAAAGAGAGAUUAACACCGCAUAAUAUAAUGUACCGGCAUCGGGAUAUUAUUAAAUAUUUAUAGGAUAGAGAUGGGCUCGCGUGACAUUAGCUAGUUGGUAGGGUAACGGCUUACCAAGGCGACGAUGUCUAGGGGCUCUGAGAGGAGAAUCCCCCACACUGGUACUGAGACACGGACCAGACUCCUACGGGAGGCAGCAGUAAGGAAUAUUGGUCAAUGGGCGGAAGCCUGAACCAGCCAUGCCGCGUGCAGGAUGACUGCCCUAUGGGUUGUAAACUGCUUUUGUCCAGGAAUAAACCUAGAUACGUGUAUCUAGCUGAAUGUACUGGAAGAAUAAGGAUCGGCUAACUCCGUGCCAGCAGCCGCGGUAAUACGGAGGAUCCGAGCGUUAUCCGGAUUUAUUGGGUUUAAAGGGUGCGUAGGCGGCCUAUUAAGUCAGGGGUGAAAUACGGUGGCUCAACCAUCGCAGUGCCUUUGAUACUGAUGGGCUUGAAUCCAUUUGAAGUGGGCGGAAUAAGACAAGUAGCGGUGAAAUGCAUAGAUAUGUCUUAGAACUCCGAUUGCGAAGGCAGCUCACUAAGCUGGUAUUGACGCUGAUGCACGAAAGCGUGGGGAUCGAACAGGAUUAGAUACCCUGGUAGUCCACGCCCUAAACGAUGAUAACUCGAUGUUGGCGAUAGACAGCCAGCGUCUUAGCGAAAGCGUUAAGUUAUCCACCUGG